rnacentral:rRNA from 1 species
GUGAGGAAUAUUGCACAAUGGGCGAAAGCCUGAUGCAGCAACGCCGCGUGGGUGAUGAAGGCCUUCGGGUCGUAAAACCCUUUUCUGAGGGACGAGUGAGGACGGUACCUCAGGAAUAAGGUUCGGCUAACUACGUGCCAGCAGCCGCGGUAAAACGUAGGAACCGAGCGUUAUCCGGAUUUACUGGGCGUAAAGCGCCUGCAGGCGGUCUUGUAAGUUGGACGUGAAAUCUCUCGGCUCAACUGGGAGGGGUCGUUCAAUACUGCGAGACUGGAGGGCAGAAGAGGGAAGUGGAAUUCCCGGUGUAGUGGUGAAAUGCGUAGAUAUCGGGAGGAACACCAGUGGCGAAAGCGGCUUCCUGGUCUGUACCUGACGCUAAGAGGCGAAAGCUAGGGGAGCGAACGGGAUUAGAUACCCUAGUAGUCC